AGAGAUACCAAAACACAAACUUUUCUCUAAUAGUAAUAUAAAUAAUAAAAUAAAAUAGAAUAAUAUUGUAAUAAAAUAUAUUUUCUUGUUUUUUUUUUUCAGCCAUUUCGUUUUUUCUUUAAUUUUUUUUUUUGGCUUUUGUCUCUCUUUAUCAAGCAGAAGGUUAAGAGACUACAUCAAUUAAAAAGUGAUGUUCAAAUUACAUUCGUACCACCUAAAAAUAAAUAGUGUUGAUAAAUUCA
rnacentral:lncRNA from 1 species